CCUACGGGUGGCAGCAGUGAGGAAUAUUGGUCAAUGGCCGGAAGGCUGAACCAGCCAUGCCGCGUGAAGGUCAGUGCCCUAUGGGCGUUAAACUUCUUUUGUGCGGGAGCAAUAAUGGUCACGUGUGGCCAGACGAGAGUACCGUACGAAUAAGCAUCGGCUAACUCCGUGCCAGCAGCCGCGGUAAUACGGGGGAUGCAAGCGUUAUCCGGAUUUAUUGGGUUUAAAGGGUGCGUAGGCUGGGAGGUAAGUCGGCGGUGAAAUGCCCCGGGUCAACGGGGUGAAGUGCCAUUGAUACUGCCUGGCUGGAAUGCGGAUGCCGUGGGAGGAAUGUGUGGUGUAGCGGUGAAAUGCAUAGAUAUCACACAGAACACCGAUUGCGAAGGCAUCUCACGAAUCCGCGAUUGACGCUGAUGCACGAAAGCGUGGGUAUCAAACAGGAUUAGAUACCCCUGUAGUC
rnacentral:rRNA from 1 species